ensembl:lncRNA
CGGGCGGUGUGGAUUUCCUCGGGGAAUCCCUCCGGAGUGUUCGGAACAAGCAGCGGAGCUCCUCGCCUAAUUGGGAGCGGACUAAUUUGCUGUCUUUUCCAGCUGAGCUUCUGGGUCCCUCAGAGUCCGGAGACCCGCUGACCGCUGUUCAGUUAAGAAAUCCCCAUGUCUGGGAUGUGGCACAGCUGCCCAGUGAGGUGGUGGGGUCACUGCCCCUGGAGAUGGUCCUGGAGAGCCAUGGAGAUGUGGCACUGAGGAGCAUGGUGGCAAAAGGGAAGGUUUUCUAAGAAGUAUUUUUCUGCAAUUGAUUUCUUCUGGCUCUGCCUCUGCAGUAUCUUCACUGCACCAAGGUAUUGACAUCUAUGGGCUACCAAUCCUGCAAGCCAAAAGGACAUCCUGGUUACAGCCCCUACUUGAAUCUCACUUAAAAUUCACAAGACCAUUUAUGCAGGCACAUGCUUGCCCAGUUAAUUGAUUUCACAGCCGCCAGCUGGAUUGUUUGA